rnacentral:rRNA from 1 species
GAUGAACGCUGGCGGCGUGCCUAAUACAUGCCAGUCGAGCGAACGGACGAGAAGCUUGCUUCUCUGAUGUUAGCGGCGGACGGGUGAGUAACACGUGGAUAACCUACCUAUAAGACUGGGAUAACUUCGGGAAACCGGAGCUAAUACCGGAUAAUAUUUUGAACCGCAUGGUUCAAAAGUGAAAGACGGUCUUGCUGUCACUUAUAGAUGGAUCCGCGCUGCAUUAGCUAGUUGGUAAGGUAACGGCUUACCAAGGCAACGAUGCAUAGCCGACCUGAGAGGGUGAUCGGCCACACUGGAACUGAGACACGGUCCAGACUCCUACGGGAGGCAGCAGUAGGGAAUCUUCCGCAAUGGGCGAAAGCCUGACGGAGCAACGCCGCGUGAGUGAUGAAGGUCUUCGGAUCGUAAAACUCUGUUAUUAGGGAAGAACAUAUGUGUAAGUAACUGUGCACAUCUUGACGGUACCUAAUAAGAAAGCCACGGCUAACUACGUG